rnacentral:rRNA from 1 species
UGCAGUCGAACGAUGAACCUCACUUGUGGGGGGAUUAGUGGCGAAGGGUGAGUAACACGUGAGUAACCUGCCCUUGACUCUGGGAUAAGCCUGGGAAACCGGGUCUAAUACUGGAUACNACCUUCUGGCGCAGGCCAUGUUGGUGGAAAGGCUUUUGUGGUUUUGGAUGGACUCGCGGCCUAUCAGCUUGUUGGUGGGGUAAUGGCCUACCAAGGCGACGACAGGUAGCCGGCCUGAGAGGGUGACCGGCCACACUGGGACUGAGACACGGCCCAGACUCCUACGGGAGGCAGCAGUGGGGAAUAUUGCACAAUGGGCGCAAGCCUGAUGCAGCGACGCCUCGUGAGGGAUGAAGGCCUUCGGGUUGUAAACCUCUUUCGAGUAGGGAAGAAGCUGGCCUUUCGGGGUUGGUGACGGUACCUGCAGAAGAAGCGCCGGCUAACUACGGUGCCAGCAGCCGCGGUAAUACGUANGGCGCACGGCGUUAUCCGGAAUUAUUGGGCGUAAAGAGCUCGUAGGCGGUUUGUCGCGUCUGCCGUGAAAGUCCGGGGCUUAACUCCNGAUCUGCGGUGGGUACGGGCAGACUANAGUGCANUANGGGAGACUGGAAUUCCUGGUGUAGCGGUGAAAUGCGCANAUNUCAGGAGGAA